ACCGAGUGGCGCACGGGUGCGUAACGCGUAUGCAAUCUGCCCUUUUCUGGAGAAUAGCCCUUAGAAAUGAGGAUUAAUACUCCAUAGUAUAACAAUUUCGCAUGUUAUUGUUAUUAAAGCUUCGGCGGAAAAGGAUGAGCAUGCGUCCCAUUAGUUUGUUGGUGAGGUAACGGCUCACCAAGACUGCGAUGGGUAGGGGGCCUGAGAGGGUUAUCCCCCACACUGGUACUGAGACACGGACCAGACUCCUACGGGAGGCAGCAGUGAGGAAUAUUGGACAAUGGACGGAAGUCUGAACCAGCCAUGCCGCGUGCAGGAUGACGGCCCUACGGGUUGUAAACUGCUUUUAUAUAGGAAGAAACCCCUUUACGUGUAAAGGGCUGACGGUACUAUAAGAAUAAGGACCGGCUAACUCCGUGCCAGCAGCCGCGGUAAUACGGAGGGUCCAAGCGUUAUCCGGAUUUAUUGGGUUUAAAGGGUACGUAGGCGGAACUUUAAGCCAGUAGUGAAAGCCCAUCGCUUAACGAUGGAACUGCUAUUGAUACUGAAGUUCUUGAAUAUAGUUGAAGUAGGCGGAAUACGGCAUGUAGCGGUGAAAUGCAUAGAUAUGCCGUGGAACACCAAUCGCGAAGGCAGCUUACUAAGCUAUUAUUGACGCUAAGGUACGAAAGCGUGGGGAGCGAACAGGAUUAGAUACCCUGGUAGUCCACGCUGUAAACGAUGAUUACUCGUUGCAGGCGAUACACAGUCUGUGACCAAGCGAAAGUGAUAAGUAAUCCACCUGGGGAGUACGAUCGCAAGGUUGAAACUCAAAGGAAUUGACGGGGGCCCGCACAAGCGGUGGAGCAUGUGGUUUAAUUCGAUGCAACGCGAAGAACCUUACCUGCCCUUGACAUAC
rnacentral:rRNA from 1 species